rnacentral:rRNA from 1 species
AUUGAACGCUGGCGGCAUGCCUUACACAUGCAAGUCGAACGGCAGCACGGGAGCAAUCCUGGUGGCGAGUGGCGAACGGGUGAGUAAUAUAUCGGAACGUGCCCAGUCGUGGGGAUAACGUAGCGAAAGCUACGCUAAUACCGCAUACGAUCUAUGGAUGAAAGCGGGGGAUCGCAAGACCUCGCGCGAUUGGAGCGGCCGAUAUCAGAUUAGGUAGUUGGUGAGGUAAAGGCUCACCAAGCCGACGAUCUGUAGCUGGUCUGAGAGGACGACCAGCCACACUGGGACUGAGACACGGCCCAGACUCCUACGGAGGCAGCAGUGGGGAAUUUUUGGACAAUGGGCGCAAGCCUGAUCCAGCAAUGCCGCGUGCAGGAUGAAGGCCUCGG